ACUACAAUUCGGUCUGGGAUUCGAGUGUCCUCGGUGCUGUAGGAGGAGACUCUCUUCCAGCCCGACAUUUCCAGUGUGCUUUCAAGUGUGAAAUCAUAUUGUUUGGCAUAUGUUACCUAAUUGUGCAUGGGAAUUAGUCUAACUUCCCAAUGGGACAGUGUAGAGUAUGGCCCAACACCUUACCAAUAACUGCUCUCAUGUCCACCCAGGAGCACCAUCCUUUAAUCCUCCUCUUAACACACCAGGGCAUAUCACAGAAGCAUAUUCAUCAGCUUGGCAGGGUUACUAAGGGUGAAGGUCUGUCACCUGAUGUUCACCUUGCCGCUGGAACUAAGAACCAACAGAGUACUCAACAAACAGGUGCUAUCUGGCUUAGUUUCACCUCAAUAUGUGCCUAGGUUUCUUGCAGCUGCCUGAUUGUCACACGUGCCUGGCCCAGGGGAGCUGGGUAAAAUGGAAAUGCACCUGCUGGUGAUGUUCUCACUUGGAAGUACAAUGAAACUGCCCAGGAGACAGAUGUCUAUGCUUGAGUCUAAACUGUGUCAUGACUUAGAAGACUAAAUGGUGGCAAUUAAGAGCAUCUGGGUUCCAAAUAUUAUUUUAAUAAAAUUUGACUUAUCUGACA